CAGCUCUGCAACUCCAUGGACUGUAGCCUGCCAGGCUCCUCUGUCCAUGGGAUUUCCCCAGCAAGAAUACUGGCAUGUGUUGCCAUUUCCUCCUCAAAGGGAUCUUUCCAACCCAGGAAUUGAGUCUGCCUCUCCUGUAUGGCAGGCUCCCAAAUUCUAGGCUGUAAAGGGCAAAGGAGAGAUUCAUUGACAAGGUCCAAUCCUCUCUUCUGAUUGUCUCAUUAGAAUGCUGACAGCUUAUCAAAAAAGGCCCUCAGGUUGUCACAUAUAAAUCUCAUUUCUAAUUGCUUCUCUGGCAUGAACUCUUCCUGGGGAGCCACUGCAGCUAUCCUUUUCAGGUAAGCAAUACCCAACAGGUAUCCAGGAAAUUGAGGUAGCAGGUAUAGCAAAGACCAGAUCAGAAAAAUAGAGAGAGGCUGACACAGAAGGCUUCAAACACCAGCAAGAGAAGGCUUUGGGG
ensembl:lncRNA